ACGACCCGCGACCUGGGAGGGAGCAAAGUCGUUUCCCGCCGGCGGGAGCUGCGGCUGUGGCUGAGAGAAGGGCUCGGAGCCGGCGUGGACCAACGCUGCAGCACCAUGGCGGACCAGCUUUAUCUGGAAAAUAUAGACGAGUUCGUCACGGACCAAAAUAAGAUCGUGACGUACAAAUGGCUGAGCUAUACACUAGGAGUUCAUGUUAACCAGGCCAAACAGAUGCUAUAUGAGUAUGUCGAAAGGAAACGGAAGGAAAAUUCAGGAGCCCAGCUGCAUGUCACCUAUUUGGUGUCUGGUAGUAUCAUUCAGAAUGGACAUUCUUGCCACAAGGUUGCAGUAGUGAGAGAAGAUAAAUUGGAAGCAGUGAAGUCCAAGCUAGCUGUGACUGCCAGCAUCCAUGUGUACAGCAUCCAGAAAGCUAUGCUAAAGGACAGUGGGCCUCUGUUCAAUACCGACUAUGACAUCCUUAAAAGCAACUUGCAGAACUGCAGCAAGUUUAGUGCCAUACAAUGUGCAGCUGCGGUUCCUAGAGCUCCCACAGAGUCCUCAUCUUCUAACAAUUUUGAACAGUCAGAUCUUCAGGCAUCCAAUGAAACACAAGCCAAUAAUGAGCUGGCAACCAACGGUCAUGGCCCACCUGCCUCCAAACAGGCUUCUCAGCAGCCCAAAGGAAUUAUGGGAAUGUUUGCCUCCAAAGCUGUUUCUAAAAGCCAAGAUAACAACAAGGAGACCAAAAUAGAGGCUAAAGAAAUAACAAAUGCAUCUUCUACAGGCAGCAAAGCACCAGGAAAGGGGAAUGUGAUGAGCAAUUUUUUUGGAAAAGCUGCUAUGAAUAAACUUAAAGUCAAUUUGGAUUCAGAACAAGCUGUGAAAGAAGAAAAAAUAGUGGAGCAACCUCCAGUGUCUGUCACUGAACCAAAGCUGGCAACUCCUGCAGACCUGAAGAAAUCCAACAAAAAAGCAGAGCCUGUUAAGAUGCAGCAGAAGGAAAAAAAAUGGGGUAAGCGAGUAGACUUAUCUGAUGAUGAAACAAAAGAAACUGAAAUCAUGAAGAAAAAGAGGCGAAGAAUCAAACUUCCUCAGUCUGACAGCAGUGAAGAUGAAGUCUUCCCAGACUCUCCUAGGGCUUAUGAAGCUGAAUCACCAUCCCCACCUCCUCCUGUAUCUCCACCUCCUGAUCCAGUGCAAAAGUCUGAGCCUGAGCCUCCUUCUGUCAAGAGCUCAAGUGGAGAAAACAAAAGAAAACGAAAACGUGUACUGAAAUCUAAAACAUUUGUGGAUGAGGAAGGCUGCAUAGUAACUGAAAAAGUUUACGAGAGUGAAUCUUGCACAGAUAGUGAAGAAGAGCUUAAGACGAAGACAUCCUGUGUCCAGAGACUUCCUGCCAUGACUGUGAAAAAAGAGCCCAAAGAGGAACGAAAGGGCCUCAAAAAAGGGACUACUGCUCUGGGCAAAGCCAACAGACAAGUGUCCAUUACUGGCUUCUUCCAGAGGAAAUAACUGCUAUCUGUGGCAGGUCAGAGACUUGGAGUGGUCAAGGGAGAAGACCAAGAAAUAUAAACGCUCUCACUUACUGUAGCUAGGAAAUACCAGGCUCGACAAUUUUAAUUGAAGAAAGAAGAUGGAGUUCUAGAGAUAGUGCCCAAGGGAGGCAGGAAUCUCACCGAGGGAUAGGAGGAAGCAGAAAGGUACAUGACUCUCAUGGGGGUCUGGUUGUUCACUGGUGGGGAGGCAUCUUGGGUGUGCAGAUGCUGCCACUCAGACUUCAUGUGCUUCCUAGAGACUUAAGCAAGGCCUAUAAAGCUGUUAAAACUUAUAAAUUGGGGGCCUUAAAAGUACCUAAGAAGUAAGAAAACUCAGGACUGGGGCUGUAGCUCAGUGGUUGAGUGCUUGCCUAGCACUUUGAAGCACUGGGUUCGAUCCUCAGCACCACAUAAAAAUAAAUAAAUAAAAUAAAGGUGUUGUAUCUAUCUACGGCUAAAAAACAUGUUUUUUUAAAAAAAAAGUAGUAGUAAGAAAAUUUCUCCAGCAGAAGCCGAGGUGGGGAAAAUAGUGGCAAAUCAUCGCUUCCAUCGGGGUUGAGAGUAUUAGCAUGACAGUAGAGUAAUAACACAACAGCAGCAGAUGUGGGGACGCAAUCUUGGUGAUUGUUACCCUCACAUGUGACUCUGUCCCCAGAACUGAAGAGUGGACACUGUAACUGUUUUCAGUGUUUUGUUGUUAAUUCAGCACUAUUUAAUGUACUAGGAAGUGUGAAGUGAGGAUUAGGACAAUAUGGUUCAUGUUCCCACAAAGUAUUUGAUCUAAAUGAGGCUUACCUAUAGGUAAAUAAGUAAUUGCACUAAAUUAAAAGACGGGCUAUGAGAGGAGAAAUAUGGGGUCUUGUGGAAACAUGUAGCAGGCCCAACUCCAGGCUUUGUGAGUGUGGUAAGGCAAGAGCUUAAACCCCAGAGGACAGUGACUAUACAUAUUGUAUUCACUGCUGUAUCCAAAGGACGUUGACACAUGGUGGCAUUUCCAUAAACAUUUGAUGAAUGAAUGAACAAAAGAAUGAAUGAAUAAAGUGAUAUCUAAAUUGUUAGGCCAAGUUGAGGAUAGGAAGAAUGUCCCAUACAGAGAUAAAGGCAGUGUAAAGAUCUGAAUAGAUUAAGAACAGUUCAUUGUGGCUGAAGUAAAAUCAAAGAAGCUCAGGGUGGCAAGAUUCAAGGCUGAAGAGUUAGAAGGAGGUCAGGUCAUGGUGGGUCUUGCAGCGAGUUUGGAUUCUGUCUUAAGGAAUAUAAGAAAUCAGGGACAGGUAUUAAGCAGGCUAUGUAGUCAAAUGAUAGAGAUAAUAGUAGUUAUCUGUAUACUGAGAUUUUACAUAUUCUUUCUGAGUUCAUAACAACCUUGUGAGGCAUAUAUUAUUCCCUACUUUACACACAAGAUUAUGAGACUUACGUAGGAUCAAAUAACACAUCUGGGAUUGGAAUCCAGGCCUCUUCAGACUCGAGCCAUGUAUUCUUUGGACUACCUCCCAUUGCCUCCACUGUGCUCUAUUCUCUUGCUUUCAUUUCUUGUUAUAGUCAGUGGCCUUUACCUUGUUCUUGACUUUAGAAUAGCACCUGUUAACCAGGCACUUCAGCAGCUGGUCAGGGCAACCCAAAGCCCACAGACUGUGCCAUUAUGGCUCCAUUUUUUGCUAUGGGAUGGUGAAAAAGCUUGUGACUAGGUAUGAUUCCUCACCUGACUGUCAUCUCCUAUUACCCUUUUUAAUCACCUCUGCCCAGUGUAGAUCUUAACAUAAUGUAGCAAUCUACAACAAUUAUUUAUGAAAUUUCAGUGGUAUUCCAGGCACUCAGUUCAGGAAUUCAUAGUAUUUAUUUUCAUUUUAGUAAUAUUUUAAAAUAGGUGUUAUCAGCCUGAUUUUGACCUGAAAAAAAUUGAGGCUUAUGAAGGUUAAGUGACUUGCUCAAGAUCACACAGUUUAAAAUGAUUUUAACUAGAGGAAUAUUUGCUUCUGGUCAUAUAGAGUAAUUAGUACUGAUUUAACCCUUUUAUCCCCCACCACCCUGCACACAAGUAACUAUAAAAAUGAACAUAACAUAUUUAAAAAUUGUUUUCAGUCAUGGAACAACAGGCAGAAUAGAAAUAUAAUCCAUAAUAGAAGGGGGAAAAUGUGCUGCACCUCAUUACAACCUGAUUUGGAGGCAUUUUCUGACUCACUAAAGAAGAGACCAAAAAGAACAUGAGAGUUUUGCUGAGAUGGGGGUUCAGGGCUACUGAGGCAACUGAAACUUGUGAGACAGGGUUUAAGAGAAUAUGGAGCUACACAGAAAAGGAGUUCUAGCCAGCUACAGUGGCUCACGCCAAAAAGACAAAAAAAAAAAAAAA